CCGGCGCUGGCAAGACGAUGAUCGUCAGCGGCCUGGGACUGCUGCUCGGUCAGCGCGCGGCCCGCGGCAUCGUCCGACGCGACGGCGCCGGG
rnacentral:tRNA from 1 species